rnacentral:rRNA from 1 species
UACGGAGGGGACUAGCGUUGUUCGGAAUUACUGGGCGUAAAGCGCACGUAGGCGGAUUUGUAAGUCAGGGGUGAAAUCCCGGGGCUCAACCUCGGAACUGCCUUUGAUACGGAUGGGCUAGAGUUCGGGAGAGGAGAGUGGAAUUCCCAGUGUAGAGGUGAAAUUCGUAGAUAUUGGGAAGAACACCGGUGGCGAAGGCGGCUCUCUGGACCGAGACUGACGCUGAGGCGCGAAAGCGUGGGGAGCAAACAGG